UUAAUCUAUAUUUAACAUCAUUUCUUGAAUUUUUCUAUCUAUCUCGUUCCCUUUAUCGUAACUAUCGAAUAGAACAUUAAUAUUUGUCAAUUAUCCUAGAACCCUCCAAUGUGCGCGAUUCAUCGUCGAGACACGCAAGGGUCCACUUCCAAUGUGCGACAUAGAAAGCAAUUAUAAUUCUUCGUUCGUAUCGUCCACGUUAUAAUUGGGGUUCCGAUAAUGGACGGCCAAAGAAGAUUAGGAACAGAGACCGUUCACGUGGUCCACUUUUCCGGACAAAGAAAAUCUAACCUAGAAAUCAGAAAAAGUAUGAAGAGAAGAAAGAGACUGUCUGAAGGGGAAGAAGAAAGAAGAUACGCGUCGAGGGAAAAAAGAGGAAAAGAGAAAAGAAUACAGGUGGAGAGGGAAGUUGAGACAAGGAGAGAAACUCGUACGUAUAGUCUCGAUGACUUAUGUGGCUCUGACGCUAUCAGCAAAGCGUCUCUGGAGUCCAGUCCGAGCCUCGGAACAGCGCUUCUCGUAAAUCAUCGCGAUCCACCCACACACCAGUAUCGCUCCUCUCACCGCAGAGAGUUCGAGCUUCAAGUUCGAGAUGCGAUAUGACAAUUAACGAGGUCAAAAGGGAGAAUGAAGUUUACUCACGAACAACUAUAUUCUUUUUCUAUCAUUCCUUUAUAGAGAAUUAUCCUUUAUACUAAAUUUAUUAGCAAUUGGAAACCUAUUAUAAUCAAAUCAUUAUGAAUUGAGAUAAGUUAGGUUAAGGCAAGCAGUUUCAUAGUUUGGAAAGGAAUGUUUGAAACGAUUCAAGCCUCAAUCUUAACCUCUCAAACUUAACCUCUUCGACUAGUAGACCAUACCACUAUACCAUGCAAAAAAUUAGAUGCAGAAAACAGUAUGAUUCUCAGAAGUCGGUUUAAAACUUAUCUCCGUCCCACAAAGAGAGAUAUCGCGCUACAGCUAUGCGACCAAACGAAAGCAAACUAAGCCAAGAAAAAGAGAAAGACCGUGGGUCCUUUGAUUGUCGUCGGUGGCAGGGUGCACCCGUGGAGAUACAAAUGACAAUGAUACUACUGUAACCGAGCUACUGCGUUCACGGUUAUCAAGCGUUGUGAUCGUCGGCUACUAGAGGCCUUCUUUUUUCGGCCGACAGUUGGCUAACUCCCACGCGAAAAAAAGCGUAGGCAGUGUAGCAUUUUUAUUAGGGCAAUUCGCCGAGUGCCCACGAGCGCUCGUUGACGUUGCGAUCAUACGUUUCUUUUAAAAUUUUUUUUUCGAGUCAUCACUUAGCUCGUUUGGUUAUCGUUGAAGCGACUUUGCUCUGUUCUUGCAUUAUUCUACUAUGCUGUACAAAUAUCCACAUGUAGUAAGUCUAUCUCAAUAUCAAGAUUAUUGUCAACCAUACUCAGUAUCGAAUGGUAGUCAUGAUUUUCAAUGCAACUAUACUGAAGACGCGUAAAUGCAACUUGUGGUCUUUGGGAAGCGUUGUAGUAUUGCACACUGAGAGAUGUCCUCAGGAUAAACAAGCAGGCUUUGUUCUACGCUUAUGAAUAAAACAUUCGAUAGUGCAUCUCCCGGAGCUAUACCGAAAACAGGAAUGAGGAGGAAAAAAAGCAACAACGAAGAAGCAGAUGAUACGAUAUAGAGUCUGGAGGAACACGGUCGAUUCCGUGAAGCUAGGAGAGUGUCUCAAUGUCUCCCAGAAGACUGAACCUAAGCAAUUUGUGCUUUCAUUCGCACAAAGCUUGAGCGCCGAGGAAAAUGCCGGUGUAAAAGAGAAGUUAAAACUAUGCCGUCGUUCUUAUUACUGCCUGGAGCCACCCUGACCUAUCCUGGAUCCACCUCUCCCUCCUUCGUUUCUUCUUCCUUCCACUCAAGGAAGCUUCCCACCCUUUUUCUCUCCCUCUUUGUUGGCUCCAUCCACGGCUUCUUCCCUUUUAGUUGUAUCUCGCUCGAAUUAACGGCACGAGUAACUUUCUUUCCGCUUACUUCGGGCUUGAUUAAAUAAUUUAUAAGCCAACACGGUGGAAUGUCGCGUUACGGAGGGGUAGAUCCUUCUUUUGCCUCGCCUUUGCUGGAUUCUCUCUGUGAUCGUGGAUUGGGGUGGAUUGGAGUUUGCUGUUUUGCGACACAAUGUUUUUCAAGGGAGCGGUGGAAUGGUAACUUCAAAAUUAAGGGAUGGUGUUAGGACUUGGUACUUAUAUUGGUACUUUCAAUUCAUGUUUUUUCAAUCUUUCGAUAAAGAUCAUUUUGAAACAAAAAUGUACGAUAGAUUAUUUUUGGUGCGUUAUAUAAAAUUAUCCAAAAAUAUGAUACAAUUAUUAAAGGAAGAAGCAAAAAUAAAAACAAAAAUUGAAAUGAUCUUAAAAAUCUGUAAACGAUGUUCAAUAUUAAUGUGUUGUAAUAGGAGAAACUUCUUGUACACAGAUUUAACGUUGGCAACGAGGAAUCAGGUAUUCCGAGCCGGGAGCAGGGAAUGGAUUACACGUGGAAAAUUAUUCUGGCAAGCGGCAUGUUUCAAACAAUGCGGUCGGUUCCUCGGAACACGACCCGGCGAUAAGCGGCUGCAACGUCGAAAAUCGUAGAUACAAUAACGUAAAUAAUCGUUAGGUAAACAAUAGCGUAGUUGUUCGUUUCUGCAUUGUUUACGCGGCUUGUCAACAUUAUCAAGAAAGAUGCCAAGAGGUCAAGAUGAUCCAAUUCAAUUCGUUUGAGAUCCAAAUAUUAGAUAAAUACUGAUUUUAAACAUUUUUCAUGGGAAUGCUGAAUCACGGAAUUUUAUGAUUAUAUUUUCGAGAUUACCGAAACAAAGCUUUCCAAUGCUUUAAAACGAAAUACAAGCAGAAUGAAAUCACGACUCAAAGCGACCACGAAAACCUGAAGUUAUUCGAAGGGAGCAUUCUUAUGACUAACACUGAAAUAUGUCGAAUUUCUCGUGGCGGAGAGCAAAGAAAAAUCAAGGGGUCGCGAGAAGCACUUUGAUUAAAGUAUGUCGCGCGGUUUUACUCGCGGCCCAAUUUGUUUCCCCCUUAAAACGCAGAAGAGGAUGAAACUUUUCGUUCAGAAUGGAAUUUUGGAAUUGCGAAUGACAAGCUAGAAGCCACGAGGGUUGUUGCGGUCGUGGCUGACCUAUCUUUUGAUGUUCGCCUUUUGGAGGAAGAAAUCUCUGUUUAUUACAAAAUUGAGAUUCUUUCAAAUAAUAUCAGAUAUAUUUUCAAUGUUUAAGGAUUGAUAAUUUUAUUGAUCAGUAAGGUUUCUUUUAUAUAAUAUAUUCAUAGGAAAUGAUGAUUGGAAUCAUGAUUAAAUGAACGGCAAUAUCGCGAAACACGUGAGAAUCUUUUCUAUAGCGACAAAGGCUAACGUAACAGGCGAAUGUAAUUACAGUUUCCUCGUUAUUUUCCGUCACGAAUACGGAGCAGAAAACUCGGUGAAACUUAUCUUGCGUAACGAUUGUUCAUGAUUCGUAACGAAACACGCGUGGCACGUUCAGGAAGUAUCGAUCACAAUUCGUGUGAAUCUGAAAGCAAAAAUGCCGAAGAAUUAUGAUUAAUUUUUUACAUUUAUAUAAUUUUUAUAUAAAUAUAUUUUUUUACAAAGAUAUAAAAUAUUAAAAUAUUGUUAUAAUAUUCGAUAAUACCGAUUAAAAGUGUUCAAAUGUAUAUGCAUUUUCGUAACAGAUUGUUUUCAUUAUCUACGUUCCCUUGGCACGUCUAAACAUUGAAUCACAUCGAUCAAAUAGGGUUCAUGGUGUGACUGCGACACAUCGAGUUGACAAAGAAUGAUCGUGCGUCGAGCCACGUGUGUUUCUUAUAUCAUGAUUGUUGGUUGCUUUACAUUUGCUACGUGAUUUUCCUUGCUAUGCGUCACAUUCGUGCAGUCCAUCAAUAAACUUGUUUAUAUGGAUCAUA